CCUACGGGUGGCAGCAGUGGGGAAUAUUGGACAAUGGGGGCAACCCUGAUCCAGCCAUGCCGCGUGUGUGAAGAAGGCCCUCGGGUUGUAAAGCACUUUCAGUGAGGAAGAACGCCUGGUGGUUAAUACCCAUCAGGAAAGACAUCACUCACAGAAGAAGCACCGGCUAACUCCGUGCCAGCAGCCGCGGUAAUACGGAGGGUGCGAGCGUUAAUCGGAAUUACUGGGCGUAAAGCGCGCGUAGGUGGCUUGAUAAGUCGGUUGUGAAAGCCCCGGGCUCAACCUGGGAACGGCAUCCGGAACUGUCAAGCUAGAGUGCAGGAGAGGAAGGUAGAAUUCCCGGUGUAGCGGUGAAAUGCGUAGAGAUCGGGAGGAAUACCAGUGGCGAAGGCGGCCUUCUGGACUGACACUGACACUGAGGUGCGAAAGCGUGGGUAGCAAACAGGAUUAGAUACCCGAGUAGUC
rnacentral:rRNA from 1 species